GAUGAACGCUGGCGGCGUGCUUAACACAUGCAAGUCGAGCGAAGCACUCUGAUUACUUCGGUUUGAAGAGUGACUGAGCGGCGGACGGGUGAGUAACGCGUGGGUAACCUGCCUCACACAGGGGGAUAACAGUUAGAAAUGACUGCUAAUACCGCAUAAGACCACAGCACCGCAUGGUGCAGGGGUAAAAACUCCGGUGGUGUGAGAUGGACCCGCGUCUGAUUAGCUAGUUGGUGAGGUAACGGCUAACCAAGGCGACGAUCAGUAGCCGACCUGGGAGGGAGACCGGCCACAUUGGGACUGGGACACGGCCCAAACUCCUACGGGAGGCAGCAGUGGGGAAUAUUGCACAAUGGGCGAAAGCCUGAUGCAGCGACGUCGCGUGAAGUAUGAAGUAUUUCGGUAUGUAAACUUCUAUCAGCAGGGAAGAAAAUGACGGUACCUGACUAAGAAGCCCCGGCUAACUACGUGCCAGCCGCCGCCGUAACAC
rnacentral:rRNA from 1 species